AGAUCUUGACAUCCUACGUCCUUCUGUGAGAACAGGCCGUGCCUUCGGGAACGUAGAGAC
rnacentral:rRNA from 1 species